CGGGGAAGCUAGGAGCACUGCAGGAGAAAGUGUCCUACAAAUUGAAUUCUGGCUGGCAACCAAGAACAAUGUGAUGGCAACUCUCCUUGCAAAUAUGAAAACAAGUGAAGACCCAACACACCACAGGCUUGAGGAGACACACCUGUGCCACUUGUUGCCCAAAGGACUCAAUGUGCAGCCUUCAUCUCAGCUUCUUCAUCAAGUGUCCGUGAGAAAAGAAUGCCGAGAGAGACACAUAAGUUACUCAGUUGAGGAAAAUGAAGACACUUAAUAAAUUUUUCACCGUCACUCUUCAGCAUUGAAGACCGACCCACCAUAGAGUUUUGAGUAGAAGAGCAAAUGAUCUGGAAAAUCAUUAACAUGAGAUGGAACAGGAAGGCCAGACUUCUGUACCUCACCACACUGCCUGGUUUAAGAUAAUCAUUCUACAACAACCAACUUUCUUCUAAGUAUAUGAAAGCCAUUCCCACAACCCCAGCACCUGCACAGUGCCUGACUUGGACUGGUGUACCAGGGUCCUGUGCUGUUGUUCCCUUUGGGGGAAGGGACCAAGUAGGUGCAGUGUCAACAAUACAGGCUUUGUCAUCCCUCAGACUGGCAUGUGACCUUGCUGUGAUUCAGUGAUCCUCUAUUGUCUUUUGCAAACCAAUUUCAAAUGAACCCAGCAUGUAUGAACAGAUCCUGUGCAAAGGGUGAACGACUGGUGAAAGCAGAAGAGAAGCAGACUAUGUGCAUGAAUUCCAAACUCUGUUCCACAACUGUCAAGUGUGCUUUGCGGGACAGCAGUCAGACUUCCUCAGGGACCCUAACCUUGCUUCAUCUCUCUUGUGUUUACACAGACACCCCAACAAAGCCUCUUUCAGUUGGUAUUGCUAGCCUAUUUUUAUUUCCUUGUUUAUACUGAAAAUUUUUUGAGGUUAUAAGAUAAGAUCUCUUCUCUCACCUCCAUCCAAAUCCUCUCCUAUAACCUUUUCUUCUCUUCUUCAAAU